rnacentral:rRNA from 1 species
AUUAACGCUGGCGGCGUGCAUAACACAUGCAAGUCGAACGAUGAAACUUUAAUGAACCCUUCGGGGAGAAUUAAAGCGGAUUAGUGGCGAACGGGUGAGUAACGCGUGAGUAACCUGCCUUACACAAGGGGAUAGCCUUUGGAAACGAAGAAUAAUACCCUAUAAAACCAUAAAAGCACAUGCAAUUAUGGUCAAAGUGAUAGCGGUGUAAGAUGGACUUGCGUCUGAUUAGCUAGUUGGUGAGAUAAAAGCCCACCAAGGCAACGAUCAGUAGCCGGCUUGAGAGAGUGUACGGCCACAUUGGGACUGAGACACGGCCCAGACUCCUACGGGAGGCAGCAGUGGGGAAUUUUGCACAAUGGGGGAAACCCUGAUGCAGCGACGCCGCGUGAUUGAGAAGGCCUUCGGGUUGUAAAAAUCUUUUGUAUAGGAAGAAAAUGACAGUACUAUACGAAUAAGGUCCGGCUAAUUACGUG